rnacentral:lncRNA from 1 species
GGCCCAGGCACUGCCACCCCUCCAGCGCAUGCCUGGCACAGAGUCGUGCUCAGGUCUCAUCUCCGCAGGGUGUGGUGACCAGAGGUGCUGCAUCCUUUUUCUAGAGCUCUCUGGAAUCCAGACCCCCCCCCCCACCCGCUUGUCACCCUCUCUUCUGCACAGCCAGGCACAGAGAGAGCCUGUGGGUGUCCUGUGCCACCCAGCCAGCCGGGAGCUGAAGCCAGUUCUGUCCACACUGUGGGUCUCGCCCCAUCCCUGGCCUCUGUGGUGGCCAGAGGCGGUGCCCGCACCCGAGCUGCCCGGCGGGGUGUGCCCGCCGGCUGCCUUAUUGCGGACGCCAAGGCUAACAGACUAAAUAUAGCCUGGGAGGAGGCUAGAGCUAUUUUUAGCCUGGGUAGCCUGGGCCCUCCGGUUUCCCAGGUCGGCAGCCCAGGGCCAGGACCUUGCGUUAGGAAGAAGGGGCGGCUCCACUUUCCGGGGUCCCCACCUCCUCUGGAGCUGGGUAGCCCAGCCAGGCUUUCUGCGCAACCUCCGCACCCCAACGCUGGGAGGAGGGUUGCGGGGAAGGUCAAAGAGGGGCCUGGGUGUUGUCUUGGGGAGAGGUGGCCGGCCGCCACCUCGCCACCUCUCCUCAGCCGCCCCUCUCCUGCUGCCAGCCCGCGCUGGCCUUUUGUUGGGCUGGGAGGCUGCCUUCUAUUUUGGGAAGGUGCUGGAAUAAUUUCCCUGGCUAUUUUUAGCCAGUUUGGGGAUUCCUCCACCCUGGCUGCCCGCCCCGCCUCUCCGCCUCCUCCCUGUCCUCUUGCUCCUCCGGCUGACCGGUGGCUGGCCUCCCACAGAACCGGGCUGGCCGGGACAACCAGCCUGGGGGCAGCCCCAGGGUGGGGAGACCCCCAGAUCUCUGGGUAGAGGUAGGGAAGAUUUAGAGGGCGUGUCCUUGUUCCAGGUGAGUGAGACGUUCCGGCCUCCGGGAAUCCGUGACCUCCGGGAAUCCGUGACCGCCUCACACCUGACUUCUGCCUGGGGCCGGGGUGGGGCUCUCAGAGCCUGACCUUUCACCUCCUUCCUGGGUUGUCACGUGUCUGCCUGCUGAGGAAACAUCUUAACCUUGGCACGCAUCCCUUGAUUGGGGGUUCGGAUGGCCCCAGUGGGAAGAGCUGUACCGUGAGGGUAAACUGAGGGCAGAGAGGGUGCUGGGGGCGCCGGGUGGGCUCUCCCUGAGGGUUUCAUUCCCAUGCACACUCUCCCCCUUAACAGCUGGAUAACCUUGGGGCAGCUACUUCACCUCCCUGGGCCUCCUUUCAGGAAACAGGGUGACAGUCACAACCCAGUGAGUCUGCGAAUGCACAAGCCCUGGCAGUGGAGGGGCUGGUCCCAGGGAGGUCGCUGAGCCAGGUCUGGCCGCAGCUGAGGGGCCUCCUUCCUCCUCAUCUUCUUUGAGGCGGGCAGAGCCUCCCCAGCUUACAGAUCAGGAAACCCAAGGCCUGGACUGAUUUCAGAGGCCCAGGGUCUCAUGACAAAUGACACAUGGGAGGCCAGGCUCCUGACUUUUUUGGCUCUGACCCACGUUUCCAGAGCUGCCUUUGUGUUCUUCCCGGGCCUUCUGGCACUCACCAGAUGUUUUCUGGGUAUGUAUGAGUGUCCUAUGGCUGCAGUAACAAAGCCCCACCAACUCAGUGGCUUCAGAUAACAUGAAUUGAUUCUCUUACAAUCUGGAGGUCAGAGUCCAUAACCGAUCUCUCCAGACUAAAAACCAAGAGGUGGGCAGGGCUUGUCCCUCCUGGAAGCUCCAAGGGAGAGUCCUUGUCCUUGUCCCUUUUUCCAGCCCCUAGAGGUGUCCGAAUCGCUGAGCUCCUGGCUCCUUCAGUCUCUGAUUCUGAUCCUCCUGCUCUUACCCUGCCUUGAUGUCCUCACUGUGUGUACGUCUAGCUGACCUGCUGAAUUUCUGCCUUGCCCUGACACCCUUGACAGGGUUCUGUCCCUCUUCAUGUGGGCUUGGCUGAAGCUGGCUGGAUAGGAACAGCAAGGCCACCAGACUAGGUCUGACGUCAUCAUGAUCUCAUGUGCAUGCUAGGUGGCCCCUGCCCUGAUAGUGGACAAUACCAUGAUGGUGACUGGUGAGGUCCACAGUAGGAGCGCAAAGAGGUGGCACCUAGGGUCCAGGGAAUCCAUGAGCUUCCUCCCCUUUAUGAGCCUCUCUCUCCCCUUCUUCUUUUUUUGCCUACCUCUGAAACCCCCAACUCUUACAGGGCGGGAAGCUGAUUUGCAAGUUUAUCUCCCACUUCUCCUUUUCUUGGCCAAGAAUAAAAUUCUCCUGCUCUGCCCAGUCAUGCUGGGCCUCAUUCCUGGUUCCACAAUCUGAGAGGGAAAGGACCCAGCCUUUAGGGUCCAAAAUUGCAGCAGAUUCUGCACGACGGUCAGGGAGGCUCUGUCUCUUUCAGUCUGGAGGCACGGCCACCUCGGCUCGCGGCCUCCAGCUUCAGAGUCGGUAUUUCAGUGUCUCCCAGCCCCUCUCAGAGGGACCCUCUGGCCUCCCUCUAUGAAGACCCCAUUGUGAAGGGCUUGGGACUUCCAGGAAACUGAGGCAGUGUGAAGACUCCGCCCCACCCCAGAAACACCUGAUUCUUGUGAUCAAGUCAGAAAGAUUUCAGACAUGUCACUCAGAGUCCUAGGCCUGAGUUUCUUAAAGAAAUAGGAAAAGGGGACCCUCAAGGGAGAGAGCAGUCCCCUCAGAGAGGAGACAGACAGUGUGCUUCUCCUGCACUUCAUUUUAUUGGGAUCCCAGAGAAGUUUCCAGGGCAUCCAGGUCCACCUCUUGACUUUUUUUUUUUGUUUUAAUUUUUGUAGCUGUAGAUGAACAGAAUGCCUUUAUUUUAUUUGUUUAUUUUUUUGUAGUGCUGAGGAUCGAACCCAGUGCCUCACACAUUUGAGGCAAGUGCUCUGCCACUGAGCUACAGCCCCAGGUCCACCUCUUCACUUCUGACUGACAGCAAGAUGACAUCAGACUUUCAGGUCCCUUCUGCCAUGACAACUGUGGGGUGUUUGGGGUUAUUUUGGCCCAUGCUGACCAGUUCUAAUUGGAUUCUUAACCACAGAUUCUUAGAGAUUUUAUGGUUAGAAGGAAUGAUCCUUAUCUCCCUGAGUUUUGGGAUCUGGUCUGUGAAAAGAGUCACAGAGGUCUCCCCCUUCAGGGUAACCUGGGUUCCUCUUUUCAACACUACUUGGGCCUGCAUUUCUCCUGCAGAUAAUAGGUCGUUUGCCGAGGAAUGUGACAUGGCCUGUCCACUUAAGCCAGGCAGGGCUGCAGGUAAAUUGCUUCUUGGAAAAGAAAGCAGGCAGGUGUCAGCACAGUGGGCCUAUUUCAUAGAAUUAUUCCCUUAACCUCGCGUUCCCACCACUCACGUCUGUCUGUCCCCAUCACCAUGAUGAAAUUGGCCCCUGGAGAAUUCAAGAUGAUCUCCAUCUCAGUGUCCUUAACUUAAUCCCAUCUGCAAACUCGAACGUUUUUCACAGGUUCUAUGGAUUAGAAAUCGGUGUCUCUGAGUGACCUGAGUCUGCCGCAGCCACCUUCUUUCAGCACCCUGCUGGGCGCUGCCAAGAGGAACAAAGCCCGAGGGGUGCCUGCUGUCUUGCAGCUUCCCUUUGAAGGACUGAGGUCAGCAUGGACGUGUGGUCACAUAAGGGACAAAUGCUUACAAGUAGGCUCCUGAGUAAAAUAUAUUUGAAUCUUGAAAAACAAGUAAUUUUUGGUGUGCCAUGUAAUAUUUAGAAAAUAACAUACUAAAAAUUUUAAUAUGCCCAUGUAAUAUUUGAACCACACUAAAAAUAGCAGAAUAUUACUCCAGUGUGAGUAGACCGCGUUAUAAUUUAUCAUGGAAGGGAUUUAACUGUAAGUAAUGAAUAAGCUCAUGUGCUGGAUGAGAGUGGGUGCAGGGCCUGGUGCCGGGGUGCACGCCUGCAAUCCCAGCGGCUGGGGAGGCUGAGGCAGGAGCUUAGCAAUGGUGAGGUGCUAAGCAACUCCGUGAGAUCCUGUCUCUAAAUAAAAUUCAAAAUAGGGCUGGGAUGUGGCUCAGUGGUCACUUGAGUGCCCCUGAAGAAAGGAAAGUGGGCGCAGGUACAGAGGCACCCUUCUGGUUCCAUUCUAUAGCCCCCAGAAUACGUAAGGCUCCGCCCCUCUCGCCUGCGGCUGCGCAUCCACCUUAGCAUCGCGGGCAGUGGACCAAUCAGCAGCCGAGUCUUGGGGCCUGGUUCUGAGGUCCCACUCGUCCCCCUCUCCCGGGGCCUUCUGCGCAGCCGCACUGGGCAGAGCCUCACGAGGGGCGGGGCAUUGCUUAGGUUUCUCGGGAGAAAGUUCAGUUCCCAGACCCCGCCCCUUCGCCCCUCCAGUGGCCCUUAGGCCACCGGGCUCCCCAUCCCCCGGCGUCCCCAGGCCCCAGCCCCUGAGGGCUCCAGUGGCCCUUAGGCCACCGGGCUCCCCAUCCCUCAGGCGUCCCCAGGCCACAUCCCUGACCUCUCAGGCGUCCCUGGGCAGGGUCUGAGGCCAGCCUGGGAGGCAGGCAGAGGUGCCAAGACCCGGCCAGGCCCCUUCGGAGAAAGGGGCCGGGUCCUCUGGCGGCCAGGCCCUGGUUUCGCAGAAAGGAAGCAGGACGCCCUCUGGCCAGCGCGGGCUCUUCGGAGAAAACAGCCGGAAGCCGAGGAAGCGCUGGGCCGGCGGCCGCCUGCAGGAGGGUGGGCUUGUGCGCCUGCAGGGCUCCUGGGCUGCCCCUUCCCCGCGGGGGCCAGCCACCUUUGUAGCUGGCAGCGGAUCUCUGUCUUUUAAGACCUGUUUUCGGGGUGCGGGUUGCCUGGGCAGCUGCUGCUUCUGUGCCUGGGGAAGGGUCCAGGAGCAGAUGGGAUUCCCGGGUAGAUGCUCCUGGCGUGCAGAAGAGAGUGAGGGUCGGCAUUCCUUGGUGCUGGCCGCCCGGUGGACGUUGAGCACACUGCAGUCUGAAGACCUGGGCCAGUUUCCCUGAUGCUCGUGAUUGACUUUGUCCUUAUUAACUGCCUCUCAGCAGCCUUGCGGCGUCAAUCAUCUCCCUUUUACAGACCAGGAGACGCGGACGGGACCGAGCCACGCGGCUGGCCGUCCCGGGGCUAGGUUGGUGGCCUUGCCUGUUCCUCUUUUAUUUUGCUGCCUCUUGUGCGCAGAACUUCAGGGGCGCUCCGCCCUGCUCCCGCCUCCUCCUCCGCCCUCUGCGACAGUGGGCAGAGGUGGGCCCUGGUCCGGGACCAGCCCAGGCAGCUCUCCCAGGCUGAGGUGUCUUCUGGAGUCUUCUGGAGUAGGGAGCUUCCCAGAGCUGUUCCUCCAGGGUGGACCAGGAAGGAGACUGGGCAAGAGGGGCAUCUCCCCCUCACUCUGCUCCCAGCCGAGGCUCCAGAGGUGGCCAGGAUGAGGCUGGCAGGGAGACAUGACCGCACCGUGUCCUGAGUUGGGGGCUGCUACUGACCAGCAAAUUCCCUUGACCCAAGGGAUGGGGCUUUGGCUCCCCCAUCCCCAGCCAACCUGCUGCGCGUCUUUCUGAUGGGCAGCCGCCACUCUGACCCCUGAAACGUUAGGACCUGGCCUGAGAACACCUGCUUUCCAGAGGUGGCUCCUGUGGCUCUGGGUGGGGAAGGGCAGGCAGAGCUUUCUGUGCAGGUGCCUGGGGUAGACACUCAUCUUUCUCCUCCCUGAAGUCCAUUGCUUCCCUGACCUCGGACAGUGUCACCACCACUGGCUGCAGAACCCCACAGCUGCCCAGUCCGGUUCCUCAUCUCUAAGGCUGGGUGGAACUGGACCUCGGCGUAGGGGUGGCCUGCAGGGCUGUUGCCUAGGACUGGAAGGGAGAAGUGAGCGGAUCAGGACCCUGGACACCUGUGGGCGGCCCGGCCUCCGCCUCGCCCUGGCCGGCCUCCGUGCAGGCGGGACAGCCUGUUGGCUGCUGGGAGCCAUUAGCCAAGUAAGUAUGACAAUUUCCUUGCCAGCGUACCCCAUGUUGCAGUGACAUUGAAUGUAGGUGACCUUGCUCAAGGACCAAGGCGGAUUAGGGCGUUCCCGGUUUAGGUUCCAGGUUUAAGGUUUAAGAUUAUUCCUGCUGGGAAUAGGGCGUAUCCUGCUGCCUGAGUUCCCCUUGAGUUCUCACGGGAUUCAGACAGUAUAUUUUGGAGAUAGAAGCCCAGUGGAGGUGAAUUUGGGAGAGAAGGUGGAUUUGGGAAGAGAACGUGGAUUUCCCCAGAACGUGAUUGUAGACGGCUGGUGUGAGUUCGGGAAUAAAGAGUUGCUGUUUGAAUCUACAAGCUGUGUGGUGGCUCGUGAUUGUGUGCCCAGCCAGACUGCGGCAUUUGUGC